rnacentral:ncRNA from 2 species
UGAAUAGGAACGGGGAGCUUGUGAAGCAGGCUGAGAGGAAGUCAUCAACUUCGACCCGCAACCUGAUUUAGGUAAUGCUAACGUAGGGAUUCGAGAUAUGGGAUAA